AUUGAACGCUGGCGGCAGGCCUAACACAUGCAAGUCGAGCGGCGCGGCGGACGGGUGAGUACUGCCUAGGAAUCUGCCUGUUAGUGGGGGAUAACGUCCGGAAACGGGCGCUAAUGCCGCAUGCUAUCAGCUGCGCCUCGGUCGGAUUAGCUAGUUGGUGGGGUAAAGGCCUACCAAGGCGACGAUCCGUAACUGGUCUGAGAGGAUGAUCAGCCACACUGGAACUGAGACACGGCCCAGACUCCUACGGGAGGCAGCAGUGGGGAAUAUUGGACAAUGGGCGAAAGCCUGAUCCAGCCAUGCCGCGUGUGUGAAGAAGGUCUUCGGAUUGUAAAGCACUUUAAGUUGGGAGGCGUUACCAACAGAAUAAGCACCGGCUAACUUCGUGCCAGCAGCCGCGGUAAUAC
rnacentral:rRNA from 1 species